CCUACGGGGCGCAGCAGUGGGGAAUAUUGGACAAUGGGCGAAAGCCUGAUCCAGCCAUGCCGCGUGUGUGAAGAAGGCCUUCGGGUUGUAAAGCACUUUCAGUGGGGAAGAAAGCCUUGGGGCUAAUACCCUCGAGGAAGGACAUCACCCACAGAAGAAGCACCGGCUAACUCCGUGCCAGCAGCCGCGGUAAUACGGAGGGUGCGAGCGUUAAUCGGAAUUACUGGGCGUAAAGCGCGCGUAGGCGGUCUGAUAAGCCGGUUGUGAAAGCCCCGGGCUCAACCUGGGAACGGCAUCCGGAACUGUCGGGCUAGAGUGCAGGAGAGGAAGGUAGAAUUCCCGGUGUAGCGGUGAAAUGCGUAGAGAUCGGGAGGAAUACCAGUGGCGAAGGCGGCCUUCUGGACUGACACUGACGCUGAGGUGCGAAAGCGUGGGUAGCAAACAGGAUUAGAUACCCCUGUAGUC
rnacentral:rRNA from 1 species